ensembl:lncRNA
GGGCAAUUGGGAAAGCGGCGCCCGGAGCCACGAGGAGGGGAGAUGAAAGGCGGGUGGCGGGUGGGGGCCGCCUGCAGCGCCAGGUGAGAGCUGGCAGCCCCGCCCAGCGCCUGGGGACCAGGCAGGAAAGCUGAGGUCCAGAGAGAGCUUUCCUGGCUCACACAGAACGUCUGUGGCUGAGCCAAGACUGGAACUAGCAUUCCUGCUUCUCACUCACACCGCUCUCAUCCCACUGCUUUUCUAGCCCAGGUCCUUGCUCUGUUUGAAGACAGAAGGACAGCCCAAAGCCCCGGGUUCCUUUCAUCACUUUUUUCCUCCCUUGACUUAAAGAUCUUUAUGCGGGAUGUUUAAUGCUCACACGGUGUGGAUCCUAGAACAUGCUUACAAAUGAGGAAGCCUGGGACUCAAGGAAGUUCUGUAGAUUGGUGAUUCAGAGCUUGGUCCUGUUCCCUGAAGCUGACAAAUCCUGUUCUCCCUGCAAAUCGGCCUCCCUCAUGUCCAGACCCCAACCCAUUCCUUUAUUCCUGUUUUUCUCCUUGUGUGAUUCUUGCACAUAGUAGGUUCUUGAGAGAGAGAGCAUGUGAUAUUCAUUGUCUGCUGUCUUACAUCACCAGCCAUUUACCAACCAGGGCAAGCAGAGCACCCCCUGUGUUUAGAGGGGUGCACCUGUGUGUGUCUGUUGGGGGGUGGGUGUUUAGUUGGAGAAAAUGGGCCUUGUCCACAGUAAAAAGAACAACUCCCAUUAAUCGAAGGAGUACCUAAGGUACCAGGUCUUGUGCUUUACAUAUUUUUGUUUAAGGUCUACAGUAGCUCUAGGGAAUUUUUUCAGGAAUCUCAAGCCUCUGGGACAUCAAGUGGUUUGCCCAGUCACCCAGAGCAGAUGGGAACCAGGUCUGUGUGUCUGGAACUUGUGUCUCAGCCCAGAGCAGAGAAGGUCAGCAUGUCCGGAGCCAGAGGGAGGUUCCCUCCUCUGUAGGGAGGCUUCACUGGACAGGAAGCACCUGAACUGAGUCUGGAAGGAUGGGCUAGACUCCCAGAGCAGGAGAGGGCUUGGGCAAACUCGUGGAGAUGACACAGUGUCUGUUUCAUUGGGAAAUUGGGGAUUAUUAUGGAAAAAACCAGGCCACAUGGCCCCUGUGUACCUCUUGUGAUAGAAGGUAUUGAUUAUGGGAGGGGAGUUUGGGGCAGAAUGCAUAUAUGUGUAUGUAUGGCUGAGUCCCUUUGCUGUUUAAUUGAGACAAUCACAUUUUAAAUUGGCUAUACCCC